UCACUAUUUCUAGUUUAAUUAAGUUGAAUGAAUAAAUGAAAGAAUAUUAGAUCUGAAACAGAGCAAUAGGAUUUAUUGUUACGCAACCUAUAAUUUCUCGCACAAUGACGUCACUGGAAAAUGCAGCUCAAUUCUACUCUAACUUACUCACUUCUGUGGCGGGUGGUAGCUUGGUACUGGCUAGCCUGAAAUUGGUAAGCUUAUACCACCGGUUAGCAAAUGUGACUACCUCUUUGAAAUCCAACUACAGAUUAAAACCCGACCACGUGUAAGAACAAUCAGUGUUGUGAAUCUUUAACGAAAUCAAUGCAAAUGAUCCCGAGGUUAUUUUAAUUUCAUUACUGACUCUUUUCUUUUUUUAACGAAAGAGCUACCUUAAUUGACCUCAAAGAGAAAAUAUCUAACCUCUUUAUAAAGA